rnacentral:rRNA from 1 species
CCUACGGGGAGCAGCAGUGAGGAAUAUUGGUCAAUGGACGAGAGUCUGAACCAGCCAAGUAGCGUGAAGGAUGACUGCCCUAUGGGUUGUAAACUUCUUUUAUAUGGGAAUAAAAUGUUCCACGUGUGGGAUUUUGUAUGUACCAUAUGAAUAAGGAUCGGCUAACUCCGUGCCAGCAGCCGCGGUAAUACGGAGGAUCCGAGCGUUAUCCGGAUUUAUUGGGUUUAAAGGGAGCGUAGGUGGAUUGUUAAGUCAGUUGUGAAAGUUUGCGGCUCAACCGUAAAAUUGCAGUUGAAACUGGCAGUCUUGAGUACAGUAGAGGUGGGCGGAAUGCGUGGUGUAGCGGUGAAAUGCUUAGAUAUCACGAAGAACUCCGAUUGCGAAGGCAGUUCACUGGACUGCAACUGACACUGAGGCUCGAAAGUGUGGGUAUCAAACAGGAUUAGAUACCCCUGUAGUC